UUAUUGGGCCUAAGCAUCCGUAGCUGGCUGAGUUAGUUCCUUGUUAAAUCCACCGAAUUAAUCGUUGGAUUGCGGGGGAUACUGCUCGGCUAGGGGACGAGAGAGGCAGACGGUAUUUCUGGGGUAGGGGUGAAAUCCUAUAAUCCCAGGAGGACCACCAGUGGCGAAGGCUGUCUGCUAGAACGCGCCCGACGGUGAGGGAUGAAAGCUGGGGGAGCGAACCGGAUUAGAUACCCGGGUAGUCCCAGCUGUAAACGAUGCAGGCUAGGUGUUUGGACGCACGUCGUUCUAGUGCCGCAGGGAAGCUGUUAAGCCUGCCGCCUGGGGAGUACGAUCGCAAGAUUGAAACUUAAAGGAAUUGGCGGGGGAGCAC
rnacentral:rRNA from 1 species